GACGUGUUUGCAUGUUCAUUGACUAGACGGCUAUGAAGAUAUUGUGGUGAUUGUCAUCGCUGUUGCGGUUCCCGUUGUGCUGGUCGUUACUGCGAUUGGCCUUGCAGUAUUCUUCUGUAGAAGUAAAAGAAAAUACAGUGUCAAGAUAGCUGUUUCAAGUAUUGAACUCAAUAACCCCUCCGAAAAAAGUUUCAAGGAGUCACAAACUAUCGCUAGCACUUCUUUUUAAGCCAAAAUAUAUGUAGAGUUACCACGACCAAAUCACAAUACACACUGACACACACGAACAAAGAGACCCACACAUACAGUCAUGUGUAUACAUACAUUAUAUGUAUAAUGAAUGAGGCCUGAACGUCAGUAGCCCAAAUCAAACGAAACUCUGACACUGUAUUGUAUGAAUUCCAUUGUCAGGCAAGGUGAAGAAGUAAUUGAAUGUGUAAACUGUUGACGUUAGUAUGAUAUAUUUUAGAUUUGAUAUCAUCGAAAAUGUUUUGGUCUUCGCAUUAAUCCGAUUACUUCAAUUCAAUCCAUAAAUAGUUUCCUAAGUUUGCUGGGUUGUACUUAGGUUAGUCGGAUAAGGAUUGAUGUUUUUUGUUGUAUAUCUCAUCAGCAAUUAGCCACAUUCUCAUUCAUUUGAUUGCAUUUAACAGAAUUUAUAUUCAAACUUGUGCUUGAACGUCGCAAGGCCGAACCUAAGGGGCCGAACCUAUGCACAAACCUAUGCACAGAAUUAUUCUUGAAUUGCCCAAGUAUUUCUUAGCAGUAUUUUUAGUCAACCAACACAUUACCGUAUUCUGACAAGUUCCAUUAGUCAUUUGUUCAUAGUGUCUUGCACGGUGUUUGCUGUAUAAAAAUGUGAAUUAUUGUUUUGCCUUCAUCAAUAAACAUGUACAAUUUAU